GACAGAGGGGGCAAGCGUUGCUCGGAAUUACUGGGCGUAAAGAGCGCGUAGGCGGCUCGUUAAGUGUGAAGUGAAAUCUCUAGGGCUCAACCCAGAAACUGCUUUACAUACUGGCGAGCUGGAGUGAUGAAGAGGUUUGUGGAAUUCCUGGUGUAACGGUGAAAUGUGUUGAUAUCAGGAGGAACACCCAUGGCGAAGGCAGCAAACUGGUCAUCAACUGACGCUGAGGCGCGAAAGCGUGGGUAGCAAACAGG
rnacentral:rRNA from 1 species